CCUAACACAUGCAAGUCGAACGGUAACAGGAAACAGCUUGCUGUUUCGCUGACGAGCGGCGGACGGGUGAGUAAUGUCUGGGAAACUGCCUGAUGGAGGGGGAUAACUACUGGAAACGGUAGCUAAUACCGCAUAACGUCGCAAGACCAAAGAGGGGGACCCUCGGGCCUCUUGCCAUCGGAUGUGCCCAGAUGGGAUUAGCUUGUUGGUGGGGUAACGGCUCACCAAGGCGACGAUCCCUAGCUGGUCUGAGAGGAUGACCAGCCACACUGGAACUGAGACACGGUCCAGACUCCUACGGGAGGCAGCAGUGGGGAAUAUUGCACAAUGGGCGCAAGCCUGAUGCAGCCAUGCCGCGUGUAUGAAGAAGGCCUUCGGGUUGUAAAGUACUUUCAGCGGGGAGGAAGGGAGUAAAGUUAAUACCUUUGCUCAUUGACGUUACCCGCAGAAGAAGCACCGGCUAACUCCGUGCCAGCAGCCGCGGUAAUACGGAGGGUGCAAGCGUUAAUCGGAAUUACUGGGCGUA
rnacentral:rRNA from 1 species